rnacentral:lncRNA from 1 species
CCGGUGGCAUCACUAUCAAGAAGACGGGCAUGGCCCUGAUUCUCGGUAUCUACGAUGAGCCCAUGACUCCUGGCCAGUGCAAUUUGGUCGUGGAGAGGCUUGGCGACUACCUGGUCGAGCAGGGUUUCUAAGCCCGCCCUGAUAUGCUGUUAUUUUGGUCGUCUGGGACUAAGUUUGCUCUACUGUGGGCUUUGCAUCCAUCUGCUUGGCGUACCGCAUGAUAUAUGCAGUGAAUAAUUUUAGCUUGGGGUUUGUCGGUUGAUGAUGUGUCGAAGGGAAAAAAUGGAUUUACUAUGUUUUUCUUUUUAAUGUUUGGCAUCGCGUCGUAUCAAACUCAGCCGCUCUUUCGCUGAGUAAUGUACAUUUGCCUGGUCGUGGUAACUUGUGGGUUCUGCUGCUGCUUUAUUGAAGAUGAUUGCAAUUUUACUGACGUGCUUGCCUGGUCAUGGUACUUUGUCAUUGCAUUACUGUUGUCUGUGGGCUAGCGUUAGAUGGUUGAUGCUAAUAAUUGGUGCAAAAUUCAAUCACCACCCCGCCACGUAACAUUACAAUUCCAUUUGUCAACUCGUAAAUUGCGCAUCUAUGCAGCCAUGAUUCAACUAUUUGUUAACUCGUUUCAGUCCAUAUUUGUUCACUUAUUUCAGUUCAUGUUGAAAUAUCCAAACCAUCUUAUAAUUCAGGAUGGAGGUAGUACUUCUGAAUUUCUGAUACACUCACCUAUGUGAUAUGUUGCCCAUACCGUAGUAAUAGCUAGGGUUGAAAAUUUCCACAGCUAGUCGUUUUAAAAAAAUUACCGGAGCUACUCCCUCCAUUCACAAAUAUAAGAUGUUUUCAAUAUUUUAGACCAUAUAUGGAUUGAAAUGAGUGAAUAAAUACACUAAAAUGCGUAUAUAUACAACAGAAUCAGAAAAAAGGUUGGAACAUCCAAUGUUUUAAGGCGGUAAGGCGUGGCAAGGUGCCUCACCACCUAAAUGGUAAGGCAUAAGUCAAGGUGGAUGCCUUAGAGAGUUCUAAGCAACAGAAUGAAGUAGAAUUUGGUAGGCAACUAUGCGUAUACACUACACAUCUUGCACUUAGUGUUCAUAUAGCAUCCGUCCUCUCUUCUCCCCAACGGUAAUCAUGCAUUAUUCUAACCAUCCAGGCUGAAAAGCAGCAAGCAAUGAACAACUAAACAUGGAAUAAGCAGAGCAGAGGAGGGUGGGGGAGAAGGGGGAGGGAGAGGAGUAGAUGGGCUCCUUGUUGUUGCCUGUUGCUGGUUGUUGCUGUACUGAAGAGGAGGAUGAGGAGCCUGUUGCUGGUUGCUGCUGUACUGAAGAGGAGGAUGAGGAGCUGCUGAAGAGGAGGGGAGGAGGAGCUGCUGGAGAGGAGCUGCUGCAUAGGAGGGAGCAAAUCUGCUGGAGGAGAGGAGCCAGAGAAGGAGGAGAUGCGUGUGGGUUGGGGGCUGUUUCUCUCUCUCUUUCCCCCCUCUUACCUGUUGGUGCUAACAACAUCUCUAUUUCCCACCAAGAUUGUUUCCCGCCUAAAACUGCUUUCCUUCCUGGCUGGCAGGCUCAAGGCGUCCAACAUGGACUAGGGCACCUACCUGGAUGCCUUAGCACCGCUUCAGACGCCUUAAAGCUUAAGGCAGACGCCUUACUCAGGUACCUAAGGCAAGCUGGACCCCUUGAGCUUGCGGGGUGCCCUGACGCCUAUGCGUCGUCUAGGCGACACCUUAUGGACACUUUAAAAACAAUGAGAACAUCUUAUAAUAGUGAAUGAGGGAGUAGUUAUUUUCAUCAGGUCAGAGAUACAAGCGAAGUUUGUCGCAUUUUGCAAGUUGUACUAAACUGAAGGCACAUGGCAAGUUUAUGUACCGUCAGUGUAGUUACCUGAAAAGAUUGAUUAGUAUGGCCAAUUUUGCACACACAACCUUUUGUGUUUUGAAAGGUUCGUCACACUUCUGUUUUUAAAUUCUCACACUAUCAUACUACUCUGUCAUAAUACAGUGCAUAAUAGUUUUGUUUCAAGUCAAACUUUGUAAACAACUGCCAAAUCCUUAGAAUUUUUUAACUGAAAUAUCAAAUUAAUACCGUUAAAUUCAUUAUAAAGUACAUUAUCAGAUUGUACAUAUUUGCUAUUUAAAUGUUCGUAUAAUAUUUUUACAAACUUGGUCAAAAUUUACAACGUUUGACUUAGGAUAAAUUUAAAUGACUAUAUUUUGACAUAGAGGGCACAAUGUAUUUUUUAAGAGUACUUUGUGCGUACCAUAUUUUUAUAGAAGAGUAGAAAAUGUCUACAAUAGUCACUAGAAUAAUCACAGUCUGAUAGUAGGGCCACACCAUACCAGAAAUACAUGGGCACUGUAUGAAUUAUCGUAUUUUGUUGGAAAAUUCACAAGAUGUAUUGGACACCCAAUAGUGUUGUCCCUAUUAUUGGAUUAUCUAGCAGUAGAUGUAAUUAUCCUUUGGAUUUGCCGUGCAAAAUAAUAAUUUCUCUGGAGUUAGCCACUCUUGGAGACAUCCACUGGGUAACGAUGGAUGCAGCUAGCCCAGGGUCCAUCCAUACGUGAAGAUGGUUGUAUACACACCCAACCAACGGUGUUGCACUCGUACCCUGCACCGAAUCCGAUCAUCCACACCCUAUUGCCUUUCUUCAUCCGGCCUUUGGCCUCGAUGUAUGAUAACUCAUACCACACCGAUGAUGUCGAUUGGUUUCCAAAUCGAUGCAGCGUCAUCUUCGAUGGCUCAACAUGCUUGUCUGAUAGAUUAAGACCACGUUGUACCGAGGUGAUAACCGCCGGUCCGCCAACAUGGAUGCAGAAAUGCUCAAAUGCAACACAAAAGUUGGGGAUGUAUGGUCUAAUCUUCCACCAACGGAGCACCUUUUUCGCCACAUAGAAGAACAAAAACUUGAGAAGCUCUGAUGCGGGUAGGACAAGAGGCCCGGUUGUCAUGAUAUUUUCCUUGAGUGCGUUCCCAGCGACAUCCAUAAGGUCUUUAGAGAGAGCAAUCCCUAGGUUGCCCUUGUCAUCUUCCUCUUGAUAAACACAUCGGUAAGCAGCGUUGUUUGCCGCAGUGAUCGUCCGCGUGAAAUGUCCAAGACGAAACCGGGCCUUUGACUUAGAAGUCGAUAACAAUUUGGCAGCACCGCCUAUGCGGAACAAGACGUUAACCAACUGCAUAGAACGCUUAUUCCCCGCAUAGUAGAAUGGCCCAAUGGUCUCCGUCGACACCACCAACACAUGUGACCCCCAAGGCAUCACUUGCAACAUGUUGCUUGCGAGCCCCACUGCGGUCACUGAUGCAGAACACGCCAUCCCAGAGAGGUUAAUGACACGGAGAUCACCUCGUAACUUGUACCUGUUUACAAUCAUGUCAGCCAUAGAUGGUACCGGACUAAAUGUACUACAGUUGGUGAUAAGAGCACCAAUUGUGCCGUGGUUGAUGCACGUCUUGGCGAAAAGGUCAUCCAUCACAGAGAAGACCACCAACUCUGCUUCGGCACGUCCUUCGUCAAGCCCACAAUGUGGCUCUAUAUAGUGAUGUGCAUGCGGGACAUGUGUCUCAUCGCUCAUGCCCGAGCGCUCAAGAACAGUAGCUAUGAAGUUGACAGUAGAAUUAUCAAACAAAGGCGAGACAUGUGCAUGCUCCAGGAAGGCUGCCUUUGGGAUUCUUAAGUUGGAGCUCGGCCGGAAGCAAGCAUAGUCAACAAGGUAUACAGUUCUACGGCGGAGUGCAAGGUAGAUGGUAGCCGCGACGAUCGGUAGAACGACGGCAAGGAGUAGAUGGAUGGGAUAGAUGGCACUGAGUUGGGGCAUAGUCUCAAGUGAAGCAGGUAGCCAUGGUGCAACUCUCUUGAGGACGCCAGGUGCGAGUGUCAACGUGGUGACAAUUCGCAGGAGGAAGGUGCUGGCAGCGCGGUGGUAUAGAAAUACGAGGCUCUUGAGAUGAGACAGCAAACCCAUGGUGUUGGGUGGUUUGGUGUACGUGCAUGUAGAGGUGGCCGAUCGAGGAGGAUAUAUAGGAGGGAACAGCAAGGGCAUAUGCUAUACUUUGUAAUGUUGUACUACUUCAAAACAUUUGCAAAACUAAAACCUCCAACCGUGCAAGUGUCAACUGCCCGUGUCCAGCAUUUCUUUCCACUCAAAAUAUUUCUUAACAAAAACGUGGGAGAAAUACCUAACGUCAUAGGCUAAUAGGGAAUCUAGAUUAUUGCUCAAUAGUGCAUGAACGAUGAUAGUACGCUGUAGGAUGGCUCAUUAAUUGCGUGCCAGAUAAACCAUUUCACAGAAUAUUAUCAUGUGCACAUUUGUGUAGCCCAUGUUUUUCACAUCGCGCUGCAGGAACGCACUCUCAUUUCAGAUUUGACGUACGGAAAUAAUAUUCAAGAGGCAUAAUCUCUACUCUUAAUGGAGCAGUUGAUAGGAUUGGUAGCCUGGUAUGGUUUAUUCUCAUCCGGUUUAUGCUCAUCCGAUCCCAGGAGGCCGCUGCAGAUCAUGCACUUACAGGACACUCCUGUUUCUCGCCGUCGUCGCGGAACCCCAGGGAUGCCUCCGUCGCCGCCGAUCCGUGGGAGGCCGCCGCACAACACCACGCACGCAUUCGCCUCCGCCGAUCUCACGAAGGCCGCCGCGGAUCAGGUCCAAAUCUCGGUCUUGGCCUCCUCCUAUCCUCGCGCCGCCCCUCCUCUACCAUUGCAUGGGCAGCCCUCAAGCCACCUCGCUACCACCGCGGCCGGUGUCCUCCACCAUCGGAUGAGCAGCCCUGAAGCCGCCACGUUGCCGCUGCGGCCGAUUACAGUUAGAUCGGACUGCUGUGGAUGGCAGCGGUAUGCACUAUAGACCUUCCCCUCAUGUCGUCACGUUGCCACCAUCCUUGUUGCAAACGGCCGAGUCGAGGUAAGGAGCCUCACAACUGGUUUGUCCUAUUGCUUGCCUUUCAGAUUACAUCUUGUUUCUAUGUCUCCUCUCGCCGCUACGUCAGGUGACACUCAUCUUUGGUGAACAAAUUAGCAUCACCUGCGUGCUUGCUUGUGUUCGUUUCUAGUAGCCGGCAAGAAUCAAUCGAGUCUUCCUCUAUGUGUGCAACCUUGCCAUCAUGUGAUUGAAUCAAGGCAAGGGCAGCCAACAUUAAGGAUGUGCGAGUCUUGCCGGGAUCCGAUCUAUCAACUCAUUCAGCCAGCUAUAUAUGUUGUGUACAUUGUACAUGCAGAAACCACCAGCUGAGUCAAGGCUCCACCGGCCCUGUGCCAACAACUCAAUUAUGGAAGCAGAAGAACGGAUUAUGUGAAUUGAAUAUGUUUUCCCAUGUCUUGGUGGUAUCCAAGAGUGCAUGUCAUUCGUGUUUUUGAAACCAUCUUCCAUCACUUCUGAUAUUUUUGUUUUUCAUAGUUGUAAUUGUUCAGCAUUUGACUGGCAUAUGAAUGGUAUUUGUAAUAUCUUUCUUUUGUCCAUAUUACCAGGAAAUAUGUCGAAACACCAAAUGUAUUCCAUUUGUGGUGGACUAACAAAACAACACAACACAUAAACUGAGGAAUGUAAGUGCAAACAUUUAUUUCUCUUUAAAUUCUUGAGUAUGAUGCCAUUUUUGUUACAAGUGUUGAUUCAGUUCUAACAUUUCGAGGUUACUAAUCCAUUCCAAGUUAUCAUUGCUUAACAGCAAUGUUAUCCAAAGCUCAUGUGACUUGAUUGGUAUCUCCUUCUGUUUUAUGUCAUACCAAUAACUUGCAAUGUUGAAAUUAUGUUUUUUGGCGCCCACAUUUUCUAUAUAACUUGGAAAACUAUUGAAUACGCUAUCAGUAUGACGUCUGAAUAGCACUGCUUUGUCAGAUAUAUAGUCACCUUCAAGUCCAUCCAUAUUUUGUUUGGGUGAUAUAAAUAGCUUUGAAGGAGACAUCUACUAGCAGUUGAAUGAAGCAUCCUUAUAGUAACUCUGUGUGAAAGACUUGAUAUCAAGAAAACUACAAAUCUAGAAGAUGUAGAAGGUAGAACCAUAGAGAGAUGUGCAUGUUUAAUUGACAUAUAUUCAGGAGUACAUUUGUGAAGCUGAGAUAUCUUUAUUUUACAGGACAUGGUUGCUCUUGCUUCAUCUAAACAGUCUGUAUGGAAUUCCAUGGGACCGAGAUUGGUGUAGGAAAUCUUCAAAGCUAUUACAUUGGUGUAGAAAUAGACAUAAAAUGUUUUCCCAAUUUUGCACCUCAGAAGUCGUAAAAUGAGCUUGAGUUAAAAUUAAUCAGGGGAGACAAGUUCUUGUUUACCAUCACAAAUAUGUACUGUAAAUUAGGCAUGACACACUGAUUGUCUUGUUUGGAUUUAAUUUGCAACAAGCUAUAUGUUUGUGUUUCUAUAGUCAUGAAGAGGAAGACAAUGCUUUCCUUUUUGUAAACUAAUAAUAUAAAUGUAAUUUCUUUGCAUUGUUUAUUGACCAUAUGGUCUGUACUUAACCAUCAAAAGUAACUAUUGCCCACCUGCACACCGGGCACAUAUCCUUACUCACCGCCGGCGUAUGGAAGAACUACGGCGUCGGCGUGCUUUACCUGGAGAGGAUAUGCAGCAGUGUGUGGCGUUGUACUCCUACAUAGUUGUGCCUCAGGUAACCUCAAGUUCACUUGGCCUGGUUGCCUAAUCAUGUGAACACAUAAAAACAUUAGGUGAAAGUGUUGGGUUGUCUCUCAACAAGCGCUUUUUUAAUGGAUUUUAGCUAGGCAUGAUAAGUUCAAUGAUGCUCGCAUAAAAGAUAAGGAUUGAAACACAAAAGGAGAGCAUCAUGAAGCAUAUGACUAGCACAUUUAAUUCUAACCCACUUCCUAUGCUAGGGAUUUUGUGAGCAAACAAUUUAUGGGAGCAAAAUAAUCAACUAGUAUAGGAAGGCAAAACAAGUAUAACUUCAAAAAUUUGAACACAUAGAGAGGAAACGUGAUAUUAUUGCAAUUCCUACAAGCAUAUGUUCCUCCCUCAUAAUAAUUUUCAGUAGUAUCAUGAAUGAAUUCAACAAUAUAACUAUCAAAUAAAGCAUUCUUUUCAUGCUGCAUAAGCAUAGAAAUUUUAUUACUCUCCACAUAAGCAAAUUUGUUCUCAUGAAUAGUAGUGGGAGCAAAGUCAACAAAAUAACUAUCAUGUGAGUGAAAAUUAAUAUCAUGAUGACAAGUUUCAUACUGAACUAAAACCACGACGAGUAAAUCGGAGCGGAGGGAGUAGUUAUCAUUAUACUUUAUGCAUAAAUGUCAUCUUCAUAAUCAUCAUAGAUGACAGCUUUUUUAUCAUAGUCAAUUGAAACCUUUUCGAAGUAGUGGAUCCAUCAUUAAAUGAAUUCUUGACCUCUCCAAAUCCACUUUCAUAAUUAUAAUCAUCAUAAAUAGAAGGCAUGCAAUCAUUAUAACAAAUUUGCACAUCAAAUCCUGGGGGAAUAAAAAUAUCAUCUUCAUCAAACAUAGCAUCCCCAAGCUUAUGGCUUUGCAUAUCAUUAGCAUCAUGGAUAUUCAAAGAAUUCAUAAUAAAAACAUUGUAAUCAUACUCAUCAUUUAUACCAAACAUUCUAUUGAAUUCUUCUUCUAUAAAUUGAGCACAAUUUUCCUUUCCAUCAUUUUCACGAAAGACAUUAUAAAGAUGAACAAUAUGAGGCAACCUCAAUUACAUUUUCUGUAGUUUUAUUUUUAUAAACCAAACUAGUGAUAAAAUAAGAAACUAAAAGAUUCAAUUGCAAGAUCUAAAGAUAUACCUUUAAACACUCACCUGCUCGGCAACGGCGCCAGAAAAGAGCUCGAUAUCUACUACACAACUUGUUCUUGUAGACUCGUGUUGGGCCUUCAAGCAUAGAGUUUUGUAGGACAGUGGCAAAUUUCACUCAAAUGGAUGACCUAAGGUUUAUCAAUCCAUGGGAGGCGUAGGAUGAAGAUGAUCUCUCUCAAAUAACCGUGCAACCAAAUAAUAAAAAGUCUUGGGUCCCCAACACACCAAAUACAAUGGUAAUUUGUAUAGGUGCACUAGUUCGGCGAAGAGAUGGUAAUAAAAGCUUAGUAAUGACAGUAGAUAUUGGCUUUUGUAAUAAGAACAAUGAAAACAUCAAGGUUGCAAUUGAUAAAACGGAGUACAAACGGUAUUGCAAUGCUUCAAAAUGAGGCCUGGGUCCGUACUUUCGCCAGUGCAAUCUCUCAACAAUACUAAUGUAACUGGAUCACAUAACUAUCCCUCAACGUGCGAUGAAGAAUCACUCCAAAGUUCUUAUCUAGCGGAGAACAUAAGAAUAAAUUGUUUGUAGGGUACAAAACCACCUCAAAGCUAUUCUUUCCGAUCGAUCUAUACAAGAGUUCAUACUAAAAUAAUACUAAAGCAAAUUCAGAUUCGUAAUACUAAAUCCAACACAAAGAACCUCAAAGAGUGCCCCAAGAUUUCUACCGGAGAAACAAAGACAAGAACGUGCAUAAAUCCCUAUGCAUAGAUUACCCCAAUGUCACCUCGGGAAUCCGCGAGUUGAGUGCCAAAACAUAUAUCAAGUGAAUCAAUAUAAUACCCCAUUGUCACCACAGGUAUCCAUACGCAAGACAUAUAUCAAGUGCUCUCAAAUUCAUAAAAGUAUUCAAUCGGAUAAAAUGAAAUCUCAAAGGGAAAACUCAGUUCAUCACAAGAUAGAGAGGGAAAAACACCAUAUGAUCCGACUAUAUUAACAAAGCCCACGAUACAUCAAGAUCGUGACAUCUCAAGAACAAGAGAGAGAGAGAGAGAGAGAGAGAGAGAGAGAGAGAGAGAGAUUAAACACAUAGCUACUGGUACAAACCCUCGGCCCGGAGGGUGGACUACUCCCUCCUCGUCAUGCUGGCGCCGGGAUGAUGAAGAUGGCCACCGGUAAUGAUCUCCCCCUCCGGCAGGGUGCUGGAACGGGGGUCUAGAUUGGUUUUCAUGGAUACAGAGGCUUGCGGCAGCGGAACUUCUGAUCUAGGGUCUCCGCGAGGGUUUGUGGAAUAUUUGACGAUUUAUAGGGUGAAGAGGGGGUGCGGGAGGCCACCAAGGUGGGCACCCCUAGGUGCUGCUCUGGCCCAUUGGAUGUCUUCUGGUCCAUAAAAAAUCAACAAAAAGUUUUGCGGUGUUUGGACUCCGUUUGAUAUUGAUUUCCUGCGAUGUAAAAAACAAGCAAAAAACAACAACUAGCACUGGGCACUGGGUGAAUAAGUUAGUCCGAAAAAUGAUAUAAAGUUGCUAUAAAAUGAUUGUAAAACAUCCAAAAACGAUAAUAUAACAGUAUGAAUACUUCAUAAAUUAUAGAUACGUUGGAGACGUAUCAAGAUGCAGCUUAUAAAGUUUCAUACUUCCGCUCCAGUACUUCUUAAAAAAAUUCAAAGUGUGCAUAUGUUUAUUGUUCUGUGUUGUAUUCCUGGACUUUGUGUGGUCCGAGCCGCUGAAUUUUUUGGAUUUGGUUUCGCUGUACCUGCAGAAAUUUUGGCAUGUUUAGCACUUUAGUUAUGCUUCUCGAGUAGCAUUGGAAUUGUUCUCAGACUACUUUCUCUUGUGAUAGCUUUAGCGAUGAUGGAAAUUGGAGUGCAGCUUGAUUGUUAACACCUCAUUCUAUGGCAGGCUUGGCAAAAAGGCGGCAGCUGACGAAAGGAGGUCACCACCAAGAUGAGCGAGACCGUUUUGACGGACUCAGGUGUGUGCUCUCGUUGGUGGUUUCAGUUUGGUAAUUCUCGUUACACCUAGCUUCUGUUCUCUCAAUUUCUGGGAAUUUUGUGUGCCAUUGCAUUAUUGAAUACAUGCCAGCAGGAUGGAAAGCAGUGAGCAGCGGCGCAUCAUCCAGAGGCGGCUAGCAUGAGGCUAAACCUGCCUUUCCUCCACGUUGAUGAAUAGCAGGACCUAGGAUAGCUAAGGUGUGCAUGUAGAUAGAGGCGCUCCUGCAAGAGAUGAGGGAGCAGUUGGUGGUCCGGACGGCGAAGAUCAGGUCAACGUCGGCUGCUUUGCUGUGCCAUUGCCACACUUCGGCUGGUACACGCUCGGACGGCCAUGGCGCCGGCGUCACUUCGUCAUCUUCUCUGGAGCCACACCAUUUCUGCGGGAUAAGCGAGUUGGAGGAAGAUGGGAGAGAUGAGUCGCUUACUCAUUGACAGAAAAUCAUUUGGGCGGAACCUCCUUUUCACGAGGGAUGAUUGAUUGUUCCUCCGCCUUCGCUUUUGUGACCUGUGCGUUGCAUGUGAACCACUGUUGUUUAGGUUGUUGGUCAUGUAAACUAUAAGGACAUAUUAAUACAAGGGUCUGUUUAGGACACAUCUAGAUGUGACAUAGUUAUAUCACAUCUAAGUUGAUGUCCAUCUGUUUGUGGUCUUUCUUUUUGUCCUAUUUUUUUUUUUUUUGAGAAUCACCGGGGGAGGAGUUCCUCCACCUGAAUAUAUUACUCAAAGUGGACAAAUGCCAGAGGAGUGAUCCAGUUUAUAAGGAAAACCGAAUCGAAAACCUUAACAAAUUGACCCAUUUAUAAGGAAAACCAGGCCAAAAACCAUACAAGACACAACCAAGCUAGUGGACAUAAGACCAUCACCACGAGAGACACAAGUAGAUGUGGGGUGUCGUCGGGAGAUCACAAUACCAAGACUUUGCAAACAGCCAAACGCAUCGGCAAGCAUACCGGCCCCCAUGGCACAACUCAGGAGCAUCCACAAUCAAUGAGUGUCAUCCCAGACACGAACCUUGACUGGGACUCCGCCACAGGAAAUCGGAGCGAUAGCAAUUUUGAGAGGCAUCUUGCACCGACCUUGAGCAAAGAUGAGCUGAGACAACACUAAGAGCACGACGCUCGCCGCAACACAAUGGGAACCAUGAGAGGGUCUUGAGCAACCAUCCAACUGAGCCGCACGAGAACACCACCACCGUAGACGAAGAACUCCAAUCAACCGAGACCAUACAUGGUGCCUCAAGGCUAUUGGCGCAACCCAAGGGCAACGAGAGACCGAGUCCACACCCGGACGAAGAGUCACACGCAGUUGAGGCUACAUCACAACAGCGGCACCGCCAGCGAAGAAGAAGGGCAUCAAGGGGCUGAGUCUACAUCCGGAUCGCUUCACCGUGCAUACCAGCGCAAGCCGGCCGCGCCACCACCACCGCAUCACACACCACCAUCGACCCCUGCCGGCCGCAUAAACACACCACCAGCAUCUCCGCUGCACCACGACCAACAUUCCAGCAGCAAGCAACACCCACACAACAACCAUAUUGACCCCAAAGAUGACGCCUUCAAGAAGGGCCACGAUGCUGGUUGCGCCGCCAUCAUCCGUACAGGAUGACCUGGACUAGGGGUUUCCCCGGGGGUCUCCACAAGGGGGGUGCAGACAACAAAUACAAUGACGCCUCCAAGGAGGUUAGCGGCGCCCACGGGCGUCGCCGCCGCCGUGUGAUGCCCACGAUUCAAUCGUACACUAAUCAUGCACGCAAACGUGUACGAUCAAGAUCAGGGACUCACGGGAAGAUAUCACAACACAACUCUAAAAACAUAAAUAAGUCAUACAAGCAUCAUAAUACAAGCCAGGGGCCUCGAGGGCUCGAAUACAAGUGCUCGAUCAUAGACGAGUCAGCGGAAGCAACAAUAUCUGAGUACAGACAUAAGUUAAACAAGUUUGCCUUAAGAAGGCUAGCAUAAACUGGGAUACAGAUCGAAAGAGGCGCAGGCCUCCUGCCUGGGAUCCUCCUAAACUACUCCUGGUCGUCGUCAGCAGCCUGCAUGUAGUAGUAGGCACCUCCAGUGUAGUAGUCGUCGUCGACGGUGGCGUCCGGCUCCUGGGCUCCAGCAUCUGGUUGCGACAACCAGAAAGAAAGGAAAGGGGGAAAAGGGGGGAGAAAGCAACCGUGAGUACUCAUCCAAAGUACUCGCAAGCAAGGAGCUACACUACAUAUGCAUGGGUAUAUGUGUAAAGGGCCAUAUCAGUGGACUGAACUGCAGAAUGCCAGAAUAAGAGGGGGAUAGCUAGUCCUAUCGAAGACUACGCUUCUGGCAGCCUCCGUCUUGCAGCAUGUAGAAGAGAGUAGAGUGAAGUCCUCCAAGUAGCAUCUCCAAGUAGCAUCUCCAAGUAGCAUCUCCAGUAGCAUCGCAUAGCAUAAUCCUACCCGGCGAUCCUCCCCUCGUCGCCCUGUGGAAAAGCGAUCACCGGGUUGUCUGUGGAACUUGGAAGGGUGUGUUUUAUUAAGUAUCCGAUUCUAGUUGUCAUAAGGUCAAGUUACAACUCCGGGUCGUCCUUUUACCGAGGGACACGGCUAUUCGAAUAGAUAAACUUCCCUGCAGGGGUGCACCACAUUACCCAACACGCUCGAUCCCAUUUGGCCGGACACACUUUCCUGGGUCAUGCCCGGCCUCGGAAGAUCAACACGUCGCAGCCCCACCUAGGCACAACAGAGAGGUCAGCCCGCCGGUCUAAAUCCUAUGCACGCAGGGGUCUGGGCCCAUCGCCCAUUGCACACCUGCACGUUGCGAGGGCGGCCGGAAACAGACCUAGCAACCUCCAUUACAAAGGAAGUUGCGUUAACGCAGUCCAAUCCGGCGCGCGCCGCUCCGUCGCUGACGUCAAGAAGGCUUCGGCUGAUACCACGACGCCGGGAUACCCAUAACUACUCCCGCAUAGAUGGUUAGUGCGUAUAGACCAAAUGGCCAGACUCAGAUCAAAUACCCAGAUCUCGUUAAGCGUGUUAAGUAUCCGCGAACGCCGAACAGGGCCAGGCCCACCUGUCUCCUAGGUGGUCUCAACCUGCCCUGUCGCUCCGCCACAAAGUAACAGUCGGGGGCCGUCGGGAACCCAGGCCCACCUCUACCGGGAUGGAGCCACCUGUCCUUUCAGCCCCCUCAUCAGAAUCACUUGCGGGUACUCAACGAGAUGACCCGACUUUAGUCACCAUCUGCAUAGUAUGUAUGUAUGUAUAGUGUAUACCCGUGAUCACCUCCCAAGUGACCACAGCCCGAUAGUAUAGCAAGGCAGACUGACAAGAAUGUAGGGCCAAUGAUGAUAAACUAGAAUCCUAUACUAAGUAUUUAGGAUUGCAGGUAAGGUAUCAACAGAUGUAGCAACAAUGUCAGGCUAUGCAUCAGAAUAGGAUUAACGAAAAGCAGUAACAUGCUACACUACUCUAAUGCAAGCAGUAUAGAGGAGAAUAGGCGAUAUCUGGUGAUCAAGGGGGGGGGCUUGCCUGGUUGCUCAGACAAGGAGGAGGGGUCGUCGGUGACAUAGUCGACCACAGGGGCAUCAGCAUCGUCACGGGGUCUACCGGAGAGAAGAGGGGGGAGAAACAGUAAAUACAUAGCAAGCAAGUGCAUAACAGGACAACAAGCAGAGCUAGACGUGUUCUAUCGCGGUAUGAGGUGAUACCGGUGAAGGGGGAAAACAUCCGGGAAAGUAUCCCCGGUGUUCCGUGUUUUCGGACAGAUGAACCGGAGGUGAAAUGUUGCAGGUUCACUAUGCUAGGGACGCGUGGCGGAUGAACGAGCUGCGUAUCCGGAUCCGUCUCAUCGUUCCGAGCAACUUUCAUGUUGAAAAUAAUUUAAUCCGAGUUACGGAUUAAAAGAUAUGAUUUUCUAAAGAUUUUAAUAAUUUCUGGAAUUUAAUUAAUUAUUUAAUUUAAUUCGAAAAUGUAUUUAUGACAUCAGCAUGAUGUCAUGCUGACAUCAGCAGUCAACAGGGUUGACUGGGUCAAACUGACAUGUGGGGUCCGCAUGUCAUAGACUGAACAGGCUAAUCAGGUUUUAAUUAAGUUAACUAGUGAUUAGAUUAAUUUAAUCAGGAUUAAUUAAGUUAAUUAAUUAACGAAUUAAUAUUUUAUUUAUUAUAUAUAUAUAUAUAUAUAAUUUUAUUAAGUCCUCCUUUUUUUGUUCUCAGGGGCGUGGGCCCCGUUUGUCAUUGGCCUAGAGGCCAUAGCGGGCACGAGCGCUAACGGGCAUAGCCCGAACGGGCGCUAACCCGCGGGGGCACACCCGACCAGGCAACAAGGGGCGGCUGGUGGGCGCGGGCGCCAGCACGCCGGCGUUGAGCUCCGGCGGCUGCGACCGGGCGGAGCAUGGGGAGGGCCGCGGCUGCCGACAUGCAGCAGGGCGGCCAGAGGCGGACGACAUGAGCGCGAGGCCACGACGAGAGGGGCGGAGGCUCCUCGGUGCAACACAGGGCGAGCGGGGAGGAGCAACGCGUGCGGGCGCGGCGAACUGGUGCGGGGGCUCGCACCCGACGCCAUGAGAGGCGAGGGUGAGCGCGCCUGGGGGCCUCGAUGGUCGCGAGCGGAGGCGGCCGGGGACGUGCCGGCCACGGCAGACGUGGUGCGCGGGAGCAACGGCCGUCAGGGCGGUGCGUGUGGUGAGCGCGGACGGGGCGAGGAGCAAAGGGUCGGCGCGGCGACNNNNNNNNNNNNNNNNNNNNNNNNNNNNNNNNNNNNNNNNNNNNNNNNNNNNNNNNNNNNNNNNNNNNNNNNNNNNNNNNNNNNNNNNNNNNNNNNNNNNNNNNNNNNNNNNNNNNNNNNNNNNNNNNNNNNNNNNNNNNNNNNNNNNNNNNNNNNNNNNNNNNNNNNNNNNNNNNNNNNNNNNNNNNNNNNNNNNNNNNNNNNNNNNNNNNNNNNNNNNNNNNNNNNNNNNNNNNNNNNNNNNNNNNNNNNNNNNNNNNNNNNNNNNNNNNNNNNNNNNNNNNNNNNNNNNNNNNNNNNNNNNNNNNNNNNNNNNNNNNNNNNNNNNNNNNNNNNNNNNNNNNNNNNNNNNNNNNNNNNNNNNNNNNNNNNNNNNNNNNNNNNNNNNNNNNNNNNNNNNNNNNNNNNNNNNNNNNNNNNNNNNNNNNNNNNNNNNNNNNNNNNNNNNNNNNNNNNNNNNNNNNNNNNNNNNNNNNNNNNNNNNNNNNNNNNNNNNNNNNNNNNNNNNNNNNNNNNNNNNNNNNNNNNNNNNNNNNNNNNNNNNNNNNNNNNNNNNNNNNNNNNNNNNNNNNNNNNNNNNNNNNNNNNNNNNNNNNNNNNNNNNNNNNNNNNNNNNNNNNNNNNNNNGUUAGGGUUUGGGGGAGGGAGUGGAUAAGGAGGGGGUAGUGGAUAAGGAGGGGGGUAGUGGGCCGGCCGGCUGGGCCAAGUGGGCGAAUGGGCCGGCCCGCUGGGUCUGCUGGCCCGGGGGGGGGGUCUUUCUCUCUCCUUUUCUUCUAGUUUUAGUGUUUAGUUUUUCUGCUUUGUUUUUAAUUAUUUUCUUUUCUGUUUUAAAUCACUUUAAAUUAUUUAGACAUUUUAUAAAAAUGUGUUUGCUGCACCAUAAUUACCCUUGUAAUAUUUGGCAACCACCGAGCAUUUUUGUUUCAAGUUCUGAAAACUUUUAUUAUCAACAAUAAUUUUAAAUUCGAAUUUGACGCGGUUGAACUAACAGACAUUUAGCAAAAGUAAUCGGGAUGACAUGGCAUCACUAGCAGAGGAUCACUGUAGCUUAAUUACCCGGGCGUCACAAUUCUCCUCCACUACAAGAAAUCUCGUCCCGAGAUUUAAGAGGGUCUAAGGGGGAAACGUUUGUUUACGAAAUUCUAACGAAUCUUCUCGGUCUUGGUUGCUCCUCUCAAAGUGGUCGAUCCAUUAUAUUGAUGUCUUCAUUUUUCUGCUUCAGGUCAUCAAGAUGAAGUCGACAUCCUUUCCUUGGGGGUUCCAUCGUACUUACGACAGAAUAAGGGGGUUAUUCCGGGAGAACGAACCUCUACAAGGUUGACUAUCUGGUCGAUAACAUCGGGGAAGGUGGCGGAAAGUAACUCUUGAAUUGAAACUUAAGUAAAUAUCGAGAGCAAGUAAUGAGGUUUCAUGGGAAGUUUCGAGUGAGCAGGCAACAGUUCGCUGCCUGAACAGGGCUUGAAAAGGGCUCAAAGCAAUCGGGACUAAGUAUUGCGUCCGGUAACAGAUUUGAUGAUCUCUCGGAAGGUGGCUCGUGAAUUACAUACGAGGCCACACGCGAGGAAGAACCUUGGGAACAGGGGGUGCAGGAGAGUCAAGUUUCGAUCCUGGGAACUAUGGGUUAUGGGCCCACCAUGUGGGUUAAAGGUAGGAAGGGGGGCUGACAUCUUACAUGGUCACAAUAGCAAGGCAUGCCAGAGGGUAGCCUAUUAGUUAUGUCGGCAACAACAUCGAUACCAAGGGUGAGGGACGAAGAGAACCAUUUUCCUGCUCGCUGAACGAGGCGGACCAAUAGGGAAAGUUCCCGUCCAUCGGUGGUUACCGAAAUGUCAUCAACAAUAGUAACAGGGUCUGACUGAUAAGGUAGUACGCCGAGGUGUUUUCGUAAGCAGGAAAAUAUUAGUGCUUAGAUCUUAUAGAUCACUAGAAAGGUUAAACCAAACAAUGGAAAUGAUUAUAUCAUUAUCAGAUUAGAUAGAACAAUGGAAAGGAAAACGUGUUAGAACACAUAUCCCCUGGGUAUAUCCUUCCCACGGACAAGUAAGGCAUGAUAUGCAAGACAGGAUACAAAGCAGAAAACCCUUUAGGUAAGGGGAGAGAAACUUCAUGACAUUACCCAUACAACAGUGUCUGGAUAAUUGAGUAAGAAACAUUUAGCAUUGGGCUCCGAUGGAAUCAUCGGCAAUUCAUCGAGAUUUAACAAAAGAUGGAUUUCCACAAUUAUGUGAACAAGGAGAUAACAUUUGUCAGAUCAAAUGGUAUAAUGAUGUAUGCUCGAGGAAAACAUACACAAUUAAACAUUGGAUGAAAGGUGCACCCGAAUAUGGGCUGGGUUGCACAACCAAUGUCGGAAUGGUGAUUCAAUAAUCAAUAGGCUAAGGAUGAACGGUCAACCAUUAACUUCAAAGCAAGAGGGUUGCUAGAAGGGCAGAAUCCAAACAACACCGUUCACUUGUGGGUACCCCGGUUGGAAUCAACACGAGGACCAAGAAAGAAUGGUGAGGGUGAGAAGUUAUCACAAUACCAAGAACUCUCAAGACGUGGUGAAAUUCUCACGACAUUCUUGACAUAAAAGAAGGUAAUACUCCAAGGUAAAGAAGAACAAAUGCUGGGGAGCAAGGAUCUCAAGGUAUACACAAAACACGAAAAAGUUUGUGUUGAACGGAAGGCAAUAAAGUGGUCGAUGAUAACACAAAUCAUCGAGGGAAGGAUGGUAUUUCCCAUCAUGAAUUCGAUUGGUAUCCUGGAAGGAGUUAAAAUGUUGAUCAUGAUCACGACACAUUUGUCGAGAGAUUUCAUGAAGAUGUAAUCGAUUGGCGAUAACAUCAAGUCAAAGGAUUUAUGAAGCAAAAGGUUAUUGGAACCAUGCGUACGACACAAACUCAAAAUCAAGCUUGUUGUCCAAAGCGAAAUGAUAUGAUGAGGAAGAUCGACGUAAGCUUAGCUCAUUGUCAAAAAUUAUGCUCUGGGAAGAGGACCAGGUAGCACAGUUAAAAUCGGCACGACAAGGAUAUAGCUAAACAUGCUAGGAAUGACGUGAUUGAGUUCAAACUCGUAAGUAAUGAAGGUUACCAAGAGUUGCUUAAUCGCGAUGCGGACUCGAGUCCGUUAUCGGUGUCUUUGAGUGUUAAAUAACUCAGAGCCCGUGAAAAAUUGGAAUCAAUGAGAAUGUAGCACUUGAUGAAGAACUCAUAAGAAGUUAUGCAGUUCCGUGAUAAUCUUGAGAUACCAGGGGGUAAUACUCGACGACAAAUCAAAGUAGAGGUUGGACUGGGGUAUUACUCUGUAGAAGACAAGUGCUUAAACUUGCACGAGAAAUGGUAUUUAAAGGAGAACAUGGUCGGAACCACGAUUGCAUAAGACCAGAUCCCAGAUAUAAGAUGAACUUAUACCAAAGGAAUAAUUAAUUUAAGAGAAGCUUCAAUGAUACGAUCUACAUCAUGUCCAUGGGCAUAAACACAAAGUUCAAGGUCGACUCCCACUUCUCCAAUGCAUAACCUUUCAUUCCCUUCUCACUUUCAAAGAAGUUGUAGUGUUGGAAUUUUAUCUGGCAAAAUACCAGAAGAGUAUGACUCGUGAAAACUUCCGAGUUCACACAUAUUAAGGAAGGCAUAGGUUCAACCCAUCGGGUUAUCUUAUAAACAUAUGCCACCAGCUACAAGAGUAAAUGUCACCAGCUCCAAGCAGAGCAGGGUUGGCCAAAUCAGAGAAUAGGAUUUAUUAAUGGCAUUAGGUAUCAGGGAAAGAACUUCUCGAGGUUUUCGUAUACAACGGACUCUGUCGGAUGAUAAUUCAACAAAUGACCUGAUGGUCCGUAACGGAGCUGAUGUGAGUAUCGCCACACAACCGGCGAAAGAAACAAUACAAAGGCAUUGGAUUAUAGAAGCAACUGACUAUUUCAAAGCACAAUUGCAAAGGAAUUAUGAUUUCUAAUUCAAGGGAUCAAAAGCAACGCUCUGAUUAGGGAUGGAUAACUUGAAUAGCCUUAGGGGUACAAUCAACGAUAAUUUGAUUGGUCGAGAACCAGCUCAUGUUCAAAAAUGACGUCUGAGCCGGAAGGACGAACUCUAAUUGCGACUGACGAUUGUGAACAUCUGCAACAUAUUGAAUCAACGGUCUCAAAAUGAUAGUGCAAAGGAUGUCAAUGAAUAAUGCUAGGCAUUUGGAUUUAACCAUAAUGCAGGCAGACAAGAAUUUCUAGAGCCAUAGGCUGCAAAGGAUUCUCGAAAAAUCGGAUAAUAUUUCGAAGAAUUUUGUGAAACACCUGAACAACUGGGGGAAUGAGCGGAUACUCGAUAAGGGCAAGAAAUUAUCCGUAGGGGUAUUCAUAUGGCAAAGAACUGCAAGGCAGUAGGCACAAAAUAUCCUAGGAACAAUAGAGAGGAUUUCAGGGUAUCUUGUAAUAAUAAGAUCAACUAGGAAUAGAAGUAAGAAUGAGAAGUGUAUGCAAUUUUCAUAGGGGUUGACGGUGGAAGGAAAUCGCAAAUGCGAUGGCACAAAGACUUGAGAGAACAUUGUAGAGUAACUUCGACAUCUUCUAGUGCAGCAGGCGAUCUGAAUUGAGGGGCUCUCCGGGAGAAAGUAUUUUCGAGAACCUAAAGUUAGUUUUGUUUUUGGCAAAAUCAUUUAACCCGAAUAGAAGAGAGAUCAGAGUCCCAGAGUAUAGGUCGAGGAAUAAAAGAUCCUAAUACCACCCAAUGGCGACGUGGGCCCAUGGGCUGCACAGCCAUGUUAGUAAAACAGUUUUCAUCGACUAGACUCAACUUCGGCCAAGGAGUUGGAAAGUGGAUUCCUACAGGCAGUCGGCUCUGAUACCAACUUGUUACGCCCCCGAUUCAAUCAUACAUUAAUCAUGCACGCAAACGUGUACGAUCAAGAUCAGGGACUCACGGGAAGAUAUCACAACACAACUCUAAAAACAUAAAUAAGUCAUACAAGCAUCAUAAUACAAGCCAGGGGCCUCGAGGGCUCGAAUACAAGUGCUCGAUCAUAGACGAGUCAGCGGAAGCAACAAUAUCUGAGUACAGACAUAAGUUAAACAAGUUUUCCUUAAGAAGGCUAGCAUAAACUGGGAUACAGAUCGAAAGAGGCGCAUGCCUCCUGCCUGGGAUCCUCCUAAACUACUCCUGGUCGUCGUCAGCAGCCUGCACGUAGUAGUAGGCACCUCCAGUGUAGUAGUCGUCGUCGACGGUGGCGUCCGGCUCCUGGGCUCCAGCAUCUGGUUGCGACAACCAGAAAGAAAGGAAAGGAGGAAAAGGGGGGAGAAAGCAACCGUGAGUACUCAUCCAAAGUACUCGCAAGCAAGGAGCUACACUACAUAUGCAUGGGUAUAUGUGUAAAGGGCCAUAUCAGUGGACUGAACUGCAGAAUGCCAGAAUAAGAGGGGGAUAGCUAGUCCUAUCGAAGACUACGCUUCUGGCAGCCUUCGUCUUGCAGCAUGUAGAAGAGAGUAGAGUGAAGUCCUCCAAGUAGCAUCUCCAAGUAGCAUCUCCAGUAGCAUCGCAUAGCAUAAUGCUACCCGGCGAUCCUCCCCUCGUCGCCCUGUGGAAAAGCGAUCACCGGGUUGUCUGUGGAACUUGGAAGGGUGUGUUUUAUUAAGUAUCCGGUUCUAGUUGUCAUAAGGUCAAGGUACAACUCCGGGUCGUCCUUUUACCGAGGGACACGGCUAUUCGAAUAGAUAAACUUCCCUGCAGGGGUGCACCACGUAACCCAACAUGCUCGAUCCCAUUUGGCCGGACACACUUUCCUGGGUCAUGCCCGGCUUCGGAAGAUCAACACGUCGCAUCCCCACCUAGGCACAACAGAGAGGUCAGCCCGCCGGUCUAAAUCCUAUGCGCGCAGGGGUCUGGGCCCAUCGCCCAUUGCACACCUGCACGUUGCAAGGGCGGCCGGAAACAGACCUAGCAACCUCCAUUACAAAGGAAGUUGCGUUAACGCAGUCCAAUCCGGCGCGCGCCGCUCCGUCGCUGACGUCAAGAAGGCUUCGGCUGAUACCACGACGCCGGGAUACCCAUAACUACUCCCGCGUAGAUGGUUAGUGCGUAUAGACCAAAUGGCCAGACUCAGAUCAAAUACCCAGAUCUCGUUAAGCGUGUUAAGUAUCCGCGAACGCCGAACAGGGCCAGGCCCACCUGUCUCCUAGGUGGUCUCAACCUGCCCUGUCGCUCCGCCGCAAAGUAACAGUCGGGGGCCGUCGGGAACCCAGGCCCACCUCUACCGGGAUGGAGCCACCUGUCCUUUCAGCCCCCUCAUCAGAAUCACUUGCGGGUACUCAACGAGCUGACCCGACUUUAGUCACCAUCUGUAUAGUAUGUAUGUAUGUAUAGUGUAUACCCGUGAUCACCUCCCAAGUGACCACAGCCCGAUAGUAUAGCAAGGCAGACUGACAAGAAUGUAGGGCCAAUGAUGAUAAACUAGCAUCCUAUACUAAGUAUUUAGGACUGUAGGUAAGGUAUCAACAGAUGUAGCAACAAUGUCGGGCUAUGCAUCAGAAUAGGAUUAACGAAAAGCAGUAACAUGCUACACUACUCUAAUGCAAGCAGUAUAGAGGAGAAUAGCCGAUNNNNNNNNNNNNNNNNNNNNNNNNNNNNNNNNNNNNNNNNNNNNNNNNNNNNNNNNNNNNNNNNNNNNNNNNNNNNNNNNNNNNNNNNNNNNNNNNNNNNNNNNNNNNNNNNNNNNNNNNNNNNNNNNNNNNNNNNNNNNNNNNNNNNNNNNNNNNNNNNNNNNNNNNNNNNNNNNNNNNNNNNNNNNNNNNNNNNNNNNNNNNNNNNNNNNNNNNNNGUCGGUGACGUAGUCGACCACAGGGGCAUCAGCAUCGUCACGGGGUCUACCGGAGAGAAGAGGGGGAGAAACAGUAAAUACAUAGCAAGCAAGUGCAUAACAGGACAACAAGCAGAGCUAGACGUGUUCUAUCGCGGUAUGAGGUGAUACCGGUGAAGGGGGGAAACAUCCGGGAAAGUAUCCCCGGUGUUCCGUGCUUUCGGACAGAUGAACCGGAGGUGAAAUGUUGCAGGUUCACUAUGCUAGGGACGCGUGGCGGAUGAAAGGGCUGCGUAUCCGGAUCCGUCUCGUCGUUCUGAGCAACUUUCAUGUUGAAAAUAAUUUAAUCCGAGUUACGGAUUAAAAGAUAUGAUUUUCUAAAGAUUUUAAUAAUUUCUGGAAUUUAAUUAAUUAUUUAAUUUAAUUCGAAAAUGUAUUUAUGACAUCAGCAUGAUGUCAUGCUGACGUCAGCAGUCAACAGGGUUGACUGGGUCAAACUGACAUGUGGGGUCCGCAUGUCAUAGACUGAACAGGCUAAUCAGGUUUUAAUUAAGUUAACUAGUGAUUAGAUUAAUUUAAUCAGGAUUAUUUAAGUUAAUUAAUUCUUUAAUUAAUUAACUAAUUAAUAUUUUAUUUAUUAUAUAUAUAUAUAUAAUUUUAUUAAAUCCUCCUUUUUUUGUUCUUAGGGGCGUGGGCCCCGUUUGUCAUUGGCCCAGAGGCCAUAGCGGGCACGAGCGCUAACGGGCACAGCCCGAACGGGCGCUAGCCCGCGGGGGCGCACCCGACCAGGCAACAAGGGGCGGCUGGUGGGCGCGGGCGCCAGCACGCCGGCGUUGAGCUCCGGCGGCUGCGACCGGGCGGAGCAUGGGGAGGGCCGCGGCUGCCGACAUGCAGCAGGGCGGCCAGAGGCGGAUGACGUGAGUGCGAGGCCGCGACGAGAGGGGCGGAGGCUCCUCGGUGCGACACAGGGCGAGCGGGGAGGAGCAACGCGUGCGGGCGCGGCGAACUGGUGCUGGGGCUCGCACCCGACGUCAUGAGAGGCGAGGGUGAGCGCGCCUGGGGGCCUCGGUGGUCGCGAGCGGAGGCGGCCGGGGACNNNNNNNNNNCGAAUGGGCCGGCCCGCUGGGUCUGCUGGCCUGGGGGGGGGUCUUUCUCUCUCCUUUUCUUCUAGUUUUAGGUUUUAGUUUUUCUGUUUUGUUUUUAAUUAUUUUCUUUUCUGUUUUAAAUCACUUUAAAUUAUUUAGACAUUUUAUAAAAAUGUGUUUGCUGCACCAUAAUUACCCUUGUAAUAUUUGGCAACCACCGAACAUUUUUGUUUCAAGUUCUGAAAACUUUUAUUAUCAACAAUAAUUUUAAAUUCGAAUUUGACGCGGUUGAACUAACGGACAUUUAGUAAAAGUAAUCGGGAUGACAUGGCAUCACUAGCAGAGGAUCACUGUAGCUUAAUUACCCGGGCGUCACACGCCGGCUCCAGGUGGAGCAAAGCUUUCGCCCAAAGUUGAUCUGACACACUCCCGUCGACCGGUUGAGUGAGGAGGGUAGAUUAUCUGCACAAGCACAAGGACCAUGACUGCCCCGAUGCCGCACAUGGUCAGAAUCAAACCUGGGAGGAAGUAGCGCCGCCAAACCCAUCCACCGGCAGGACCACCCGCACCACGCAGAGGCCACCACCCAGGAAGUCCAGCAGCUCAAACCGGCACCACGCCGGCCGAAGCACACCAUAAGAAUCUCACCAGAACGCCGGCCCGGCCGAGCAGCGCCGUCCAGCAGGAGAAGCAGGUUGGGAGCGGCCGCUCCAGAUCCACCCGCAGCCGACCAGAGCCGCCGGCCCCCACCAUGCACAGCCGCCCUGCCGCCCGCGCGGGCCAGAGCUGCCGCAUCUCGCCGACGGCCCGCGACAACCAGAUUUAGGCCCGAAACCCCGAUCCACCACCAAACGGUGCGCCACCAUGCCACUCGACCGCGAGGAUGAGGGGAGGACGACGCAGCCGCUGCCUGGGGCCACCGCCCCAGCACCCAGCGCCACCGCACCACAGAUGUGGCCAGGCGGCUAGAUCCGCCCCGACGCGUAGCCUCGCGAAGCACGCCGCGCCGUCCAGGGCCGGCCACCGCGCGCGACCGAGCGAGGGAGGCCCGCCGCCGCCAGCUGCCGCGCGGGCUUUGCCCGGCGGUGCGGCCCGACGGCGGCGAGGGGGAGCGGGAGGGAAGUGGGGGGUGGCUGCGGCGGUGUUGGGUUUCGCCCGAGCCGCUCCCCUGGAGAGCGACGCGAGCGUGACUGUGGUAUGUAUAUAGAAAUAAAAUCAUUUUUUUUAUUUCUUGUUGAUGCAUUAUAUAUUUGUUGAAGCUUAGACGUGACAUCCUUAAAAAACAUCUAGAUGUGAAUUAGACAAACCGUUAAUAUAAUAUGACUCCUAAACCCUUUAACACUGUGAAGUACAUCCAGCAACGUGGAAGGGGCGUGUCUAACAUGGCACCUCCCAGCUUUCUAUCAGGUGGCUAGUGCACUAAAUAUAUGUUCAUGCUACACUCUCAUGUCGAUAUUAGACAGAAGUCUCUCAUGUACAAAAUUAGACAGAUGUUGGCGAGAAGUGCAUGGAUGAACCCGGGUACAUAUGAACCCACUUUGAAAAACACAUUUCUAAAUUCUAAAAAAAUCUGGAAAAAAAUUGCACGGGUACGUCUCCAUGUUCUAUGUGCGUGCAUAAAGUUUCAUGAAAAAAUAACUUUUUUUGUGACCUGUGCAAAAAAGACAAAAAAUUAUGUCGUGAAACACUAUUUAAAAGCACUGAAAUUUGUCUUUUUUUGCGGAGGCAAAACAAAAAGAUAUUUUUUGAUAAAACUUUGUGCCGCGUACACACAUUUGCGAACAUAUAUGCGUGAUAUUUUCUUUUGAUUUUUUUGACAUUUUAAAACGUGCUUAAAAUGCAUUUUAUGAAAAGUGGGUGCAUAUGCCCAUGGGUUCAGAUGGUGCCCUCUCGAUGUUGGCGGACCAAACUAGCAAUUCCCAUGGGUCGACAUCGGGGGUCUCAUUGGCACAGUGUCAUCCUUUGGUACAAGAAAGCAUAGGUACCUCAUAAUAUCAGUUAGUAGUAGUAGUUAGCAAGAGAACAGUUAGUGCACUAGAACAAUAUCCAGCUUCCCUUUGGUUGCUGCCCUCGCAACUUCACAGUAUAUGUACACCCCUCGAUCGGUUCUCAGGAGGCAAAUUAAGGUCUGCAUCAUCAUCCAGAUAUGGAGCUGCUCGCAGUCCCCGUCCUGCUGGCGGCCAUGGCCAUGGCCUUGACCUAUCUGGCCUGGACGGCCGCCUCCCGUCGUCGGCGUUCACAGUGCUACCUCCUCGAUUACGUCUGCUACAAACCGCCAGACGACCGCAAGGUGACGACGGAUAUGGGGGUCGCACUGGCCGAGCGUAACAAGCGGCUCGGCGCCCCUGAGUUACGCUACCUCUUCCGCCUAACGUCUCGCGCCGGUCUGAGUGAGCAGACCUACCUCCCUUGUGGCAUCUUGGCAGGCCGCGAGAAGUGCCUCACCCACCAGGACGCGCUCGACGAGAUGGACGCCUUCUUCAUCGACGCCGUCGCCGGCCUCUUUGCCAAUACCGGAUUCGGCCCCCGUGACGUGGACGUGCUCGUGGUCAACGUCAACAUGUUCAACCCGGAGCCUUGCCUUGCCUCGCGGAUCGGGCACCACUACGGAAUGCGCGAGGACGUCGCGGCGUACAACGUCUCCGGCAUGGGCUGCAGCGCCACGCUGGUCUCGUUGGAUAUCGUCCAGAACGUCAUGCGGGCACGGUCGCCGCGCCCCGUGCUUGCGCUUGUGCUGUCGACGGAGGUGCUCUCGCCUGGAAACUACCUGGGCACGGACAGGUCCAUGAUGCUGGGACUAUGCCUUUUCCGCUGCGGCGGGGCAGCGGCGCUGCUCACCAGCAACCCCGCGCUCGGUGGACGCGCCAAGAUGAAGCUACGCCGCCUUGUGCGGGCCAACGUCGCCGCCGCCGACGAUGCGUACUCCGCCAUCUUUCAGCGCGAGGACGCAGACAACAUAACAGGGUUCAGCAUCAACAAGACACUCCCAAAGGCUGCCGUCCGAGCGUUCGCCGCCAACCUGGAACGGGUCGUCCCUUACAUCCUCCCUGUCAGGGAGCUCCUCCGACUUGCCACCGACUUGAUACGUCAGAAGAUGUCUCGCCGCCGGCGAUUCAAGAUCGAUGUCAACUUGAAGACUGGGGUCGACCAUUUCUGCCUCCACUCGGGUGGGGUUGCUGUCAUCGACGCUGUGAAGAAGAACUUCGGGCUCACCGAGAGGGACGUGGAGCCGUCGAGGAUGACGCUGCACCGCUGGGGAAACACGUCGGCCAGCAGCGUGUGGUACGUGCUGGCAUACAUGGAGGCCAAGGAGAGGCUCAAGAGAGGGGACAGAGUGCUUAUGGUGACCUUCGGAUCGGGCUUCAAGUGCAACAGUUGCAUGUGGGAUGUGAAUCGCGAUCUGGCGGACAAGGGUCCGUGGGCCGACUGCAUUGAUGAGUACCCGGUGCAGAGCACAGCCAACCCGUGCUUGGACAAGUAUAGCUGGAUGAUGAAUGACAACACUGAUGACGAUUCCACAUUCCCUCUGUUGUAAAACACGUGGACGGCGCGUACGUCAAUCACGGAUCAGAAGGGCCGCGAAUAAGAGCAUAAGAACUUCUCUUCGUCAGAUUAUAUAUGGGAGUAAAAGUACUUGAAAAACUAGCAUGAUGACACUCACAACUGCGAGGGCAUCAUCUUUAGAGUAUUUAUUGAAUAUGCGUGCGCGUAUAAUAUUUAUGUUUUCAAGAUACUGAGAAUAUAUAUUUCAAAUAUAUAUGGCAGUAUAGCCACCGAAAAUGUUAAAUAAAAUAUGAGAUGGGCAGAAAAUAUUUUGUAUCAUUUUAGUUUGUGGGAUAAUAAUAGCAUACAAGUAAUCCCCCCAAAAAACUGCUAGAUGUGCAGCACCGGCUGCACAACCGCUCAAAAGUCCUGGCUAGUGGCUAGUGAGGAAGCACAUAUUCCACAUACAAAUAUACUAGUAAGGUACACGUGCAUUGUAUCCAUAAGUUUUUGUAACCAAAUUACAAAUGAAUACCACAUUAUAGUAUGUAAAUAUGUAAGUUUUGAGUUAUAUAGGUGUGAUGUGGAUGUUCAUUUAAUUCUUGUAGUAGUUCAUCCCAAUCAAAAUCAAAUUAAUGCUACAAAAUAUCAAACACCAUAGUAUAAUACGAGCACUAGCCAUCAAGGUUCUUGCUAGCCAUAGGAAUUAAACCAAGUUAGUCGUCCGAUCCAGUAGGAAGGAAUCAUGCGUUGAGCUGUCUCUUUCCUCCACUAUGAUUACGUGCUUCUAGUAAAUGAUCCUGUAGCAUGUCCUCUCCGGCCGCUAACCUCUGUCCUCCACUAAUUACGCGUUGAGUUAAUUAAUUGAUCCUUUCCCCGUCAAGGAAGCAUGAUGCAUGACACUGAAUAUUUGCUUCCAGUUUCGUUUCGAAUAUUUGCUUCCGAACCUAUACUAGUAAAAAAAUAUUGUGGGCCAGAAGCAUAUUGUUCCAUCGUCUAGAGAAUUCAUUCAACCUAACAGUGAUUUAGUUCAACUCAAAAAAAAA